UACGUAGGGUGCAAGCGUUAAUCGGAAUUACUGGGCGUAAAGCGUGCGCAGGCGGUGAUGUAAGACAGUUGUGAAAUCCCCGGGCUCAACCUGGGAACUGCAUCUGUGACUGCAUUGCUGGAGUGCGGCAGAGGGGGAUGGAAUUCCGCGUGUAGCAGUGGAAUGCGUAGAUAUGCGGAGGAACACCGAUGGCGAAGGCAAUCCCCUGGGCCUGCACUGACGCUCAUGCACGAAAGCGUGGGGAGCAAACAGG
rnacentral:rRNA from 1 species